ACCUGUAACUUCUCUUACUCCUUGCUGA
rnacentral:piRNA from 1 species